CCCCUAGUAACUGCGAGUGAAGCGGGAAAAGCUCAAAUUUGAAAUCUGGCAGUCUUUUUUUUUCUUCUUUGGCUGUCUGAGUUGUAAUCUAGAGAAGUGCUUACCUGCACUGGACCAUGUAUAAGUCUCCUGGAAUGGAGCGUCGCAGAGGGUGAGAAUCCCGUCUUUGACAUGGACUGCCAGUGUGUUGUGGUGUGCUCUCAAAGAGUCGAGUUGUUUGGGAAUGCAGCUCUAAACGGGUGGUAAACUCCAUCUAAAGCUAAAUAUUGGCGAGAGACCGAUAGUGAACAAGUACCGUGAGGGAAAGAUGAAAAGGACUUUGGAAAGAGAGUUAAACAGUAUGUGAAAUUGUUGAAAGGGAAACGCUUGAAGUCAGUUAUGUUGGCUAGGGAUCAACCCGGCUGUUUUUUUUGCUGGGUGAAUUUCCUAGUCUUGACAGGCCAACAUCAGUCUUGACUGCUGGAAAAGAGCAGAGGGAAUGUGGCACCCUUGGGUGUGUUUAUAGCCCUUUGUCAUAUGUGGCAGUUGGGACUGAGGGAUGCAGCGUGCCGUGAGGCUGGGUUUUUGACCACGUUCGCGCUUAGGAUGUUGGCUUUUAAUGGCUUCAAUCGACCCGUCUUGAAACACGGACCAAGGAGUCUAACAUGCCUGCGAGUGUUUGGGUGGGGAAAACCCUUGUGCACAAUGAAAGUGAUAGUUGAGAUCCCUGUCAUGGGGAGCAUCGACGCCCGGACCUGAGCUUUUAGCAAUGGAUCCGCGGUAGAGCAUGCAUGUUGGGACCCGAAAGAUGGUGAACUAUGCCUGAAUAGGGCAAAGCCAGAGGAAACUCUGGUGGAGGCUCGUAGCGAUUCUGACGUGCAAAUCGAUCGUCAAAUUUGGGUAUAGGGGCGAAAGACUAA
rnacentral:rRNA from 1 species